AAUCCAUAGGUUAAUGAGGCGAACCGGGGGAACUGAAACAUCUAAGUACCCCGAGGAAAAGAAAUCAACCGAGAUUCCCCCAGUAGCGGCGAGCGAACGGGGAGGAGCCCAGAGCCUGAAUCAGCAUGUGUGUUAGUGGAAGCGUCUGGAAAGGCGCGCGAUACAGGGUGACAGCCCCGUACACAAAAGCGCAUGUGCUGUGAGCUCGAUGAGUAGGGCGGGACACGUGGUAUCCUGUCUGAAUAUGGGGGGACCAUCCUCCAAGGCUAAAUACUCCUGACUGACCGAUAGUGAACCAGUACCGUGAGGGAAAGGCGAAAAGAACCCCGGCGAGGGGAGUGAAAAAGAACCUGAAACCGUGUACGUACAAGCAGUGGGAGCACCCUUCGGGGUGUGACUGCGUACCUUUUGUAUAAUGGGUCAGCGACUUAUAUUCUGUAGCAAGGUUAACCGUAUAGGGGAGCCGGAGGGAAACCGAGUCUUAACCGGGCGUUAAGUUGCAGGGUAUAGACCCGAAACCCGGUGAUCUAGCCAUGGGCAGGUUGAAGGUUGGGUAACACUAACUGGAGGACCGAACCGACUAAUGUUGAAAAAUUAGCGGAUGACCUGUGGCUGGGGGUGAAAGGCCAAUCAAACCGGGAGAUAGCUGGUUCUCCCCGAAAGCUAUUUAGGUAGCGCCUCGUGAAUUCAUCUCCGGGGGUAGAGCACUGUUUCGGCUAGGGGGCCAUCCCGGCUUACCAACCCGAUGCAAACUGCGAAUACCGGAGAAUGUUAUCACGGGAGACACACGGCGGGUGCUAACGUCCGUCGUGAAGAGGGAAACAACCCAGACCGCCAGCUAAGGUCCCAAAGUCAUGGUUAAGUGGGAAACGAUGUGGGAAGGCCCAGACAGCCAGGAUGUUGGCUUAGAAGCAGCCAUCAUUUAAAGAAAGCGUAAUAGCUCACUGGUCGAGUCGGCCUGCGCGGAAGAUGUAACGGGGCUAAACCAUGCACCGAAGCUGCGGCAGCGACACUCAGGUGUUGUUGGGUAGGGGAGCGUUCUGUAAGCCUGUGAAGGUGUGUCGUGAGGCAUGCUGGAGGUAUCAGAAGUGCGAAUGCUGACAUAAGUAACGAUAAAGCGGGUGAAAAGCCCGCUCGCCGGAAGACCAAGGGUUCCUGUCCAACGUUAAUCGGGGCAGGGUGAGUCGACCCCUAAGGCGAGGCCGAAAGGCGUAGUCGAUGGGAAACGGGUUAAUAUUCCCGUACUUGGUGUUACUGCGAAGGGGGGACGGAGAAGGCUAUGUUGGCCGGGCGACGGUUGUCCCGGUUUAAGCGUGUAGGUGUGUGUUCCAGGUAAAUCCGGUUCACUUUAACACUGAGGCGUGAUGACGAGGCACUACGGUGCUGAAGCAACAAAUGCCCUGCUUCCAGGAAAAGCCUCUAAGCAUCAGGUAACAUCAAAUCGUACCCCAAACCGACACAGGUGGUCAGGUAGAGAAUACCAAGGCGCUUGAGAGAACUCGGGUGAAGGAACUAGGCAAAAUGGUGCCGUAACUUCGGGAGAAGGCACGCUGACACGUAGGUGAAGUGAUUUACUCAUGGAGCUGAAGUCAGUCGAAGAUACCAGCUGGCUGCAACUGUUUAUUAAAAACACAGCACUGUGCAAACACGAAAGUGGACGUAUACGGUGUGACGCCUGCCCGGUGCCGGAAGGUUAAUUGAUGGGGUCAGCGCAAGCGAAGCUCCUGAUCGAAGCCCCGGUAAACGGCGGCCGUAACUAUAACGGUCCUAAGGUAGCGAAAUUCCUUGUCGGGUAAGUUCCGACCUGCACGAAUGGCGUAAUGAUGGCCAGGCUGUCUCCACCCGAGACUCAGUGAAAUUGAACUCGCUGUGAAGAUGCAGUGUACCCGCGGCAAGACGGAAAGACCCCGUGAACCUUUACUAUAGCUUGACACUGAACAUUGAGCCUUGAUGUGUAGGAUAGGUGGGAGGCUUUGAAGCGUGGACGCCAGUCUGCGUGGAGCCGACCUUGAAAUACCACCCUUUAAUGUUUGAUGUUCUAACGUGGACCCGUGAUCCGGGUUGCGGACAGUGUCUGGUGGGUAGUUUGACUGGGGCGGUCUCCUCCUAAAGAGUAACGGAGGAGCACGAAGGUUGGCUAAUCCUGGUCGGACAUCAGGAGGUUAGUGCAAUGGCAUAAGCCAGCUUGACUGCGAGCGUGACGGCGCGAGCAGGUGCGAAAGCAGGUCAUAGUGAUCCGGUGGUUCUGAAUGGAAGGGCCAUCGCUCAACGGAUAAAAGGUACUCCGGGGAUAACAGGCUGAUACCGCCCAAGAGUUCAUAUCGACGGCGGUGUUUGGCACCUCGAUGUCGGCUCAUCACAUCCUGGGGCUGAAGUAGGUCCCAAGGGUAUGGCUGUUCGCCAUUUAAAGUGGUACGCGAGCUGGGUUUAGAACGUCGUGAGACAGUUCGGUCCCUAUCUGCCGUGGGCGCUGGAGAACUGAGGGGGGCUGCUCCUAGUACGAGAGGACCGGAGUGGACGCAUCACUGGUGUUCGGGUUGUCAUGCCAAUGGCACUGCCCGGUAGCUAAAUGCGGAAGAGAUAAGUGCUGAAAGCAUCUAAGCACGAAACUUGCCCCGA
rnacentral:rRNA from 1 species